CGAGCAGCGGAAUCAAAAGCAUCCGGACCUUUCUUUAAUUAACUCAUCAUAUUUUUAUCUUUUCCUUAAAAUGCAAAUUGAAAUAUUCUUUAUAUAAAGAGGGGGAAAAAAAAGAAACAGUCGCAAGCAGAGAUGAAGAGAAUCCCUCGCAUCAAAUUUCCUCAAAGGCAUCCCAAAUCCUCCUCCGGUAAUUCCUUUUCCCACGUAUGCACGUAUGCAUAUGUUUACAUAUACUGGAAUUGAUGUCUACGUGUAUAUGUCCACACAUAGAAAGUUGGUAUAUUUAUUGUUCGAUUUUUUUAUUUUUUAUGGAAAAUAAUGUUUCUCGAUCUCAAUUUUUCAAAACAAUCAAAGACUUGAUAAUAAUGAUAUCUGUUAUAAUCAGAUUCUUGUUGCAGAGUGUUGGCUAUGAAGAAUUUUAUCUUCCGUUUAAUAUGAUGUUUUAGAGGUUGCUUAUCUCAGUUUCUAAGGGAAGUAAUACCUAAUUUUGAUACUAUAUAGUGCAUAUAAUAAAAAUUUAAGUUUUCUUGUAUGAUUUUGCUUUCUUAAAUUGAAUUGUUAAUUUACUGUGGAAAUCAUGCUCAAAGAUCUCAAUUUUGUAGGAAAGUCAAGAGUAUCGAUAGAUACAAUAUUUCAUAGAAUUAAAAUUCUGUAAAAGAGUUUUGGCUCUGAAGAAUCGUAUCUUCUGAUUUAUAUACUGUACUCGUGGUUCGUUAUCUCAAUUUCUGAUGGUUACGGAAGUGAAUUAUGUUUGUGAUAUUGUAAGUGUAAUUACCUUUUCGAUUAUUACUUAAUAGAUGCCUUUUAUCUGCACGUAGAAUGUAAAAUAUGGUUAGUACUUAUGAAUAUAGUCUGUACUCUGUUAUGAUUCAUAUUAGAUACUGGGAAUGGACAUAUCUGAACAUAAGAUUAUCUAACAUCUAUGUGCAGAGUACAAAUUUUAAGAAUUAGGUAUUAUUCCAUAUAAACUAUUCAAACAAGAAUGCAGCUCAAUGACCUAUAUUAUGAUAGGUGUACAACACUGCACAUGUGUCUUGUAACUUCGUUAGAUAUUGGAUCGAGGUGCUCAUACAUAAAACUUCUCAGUCCUAAAGGGUUAAGUUGCAAUGUUCAGCCAACAAAACUUGACAAUGUUUUCAUAGAACUACCUGUGAUUAGUACUUAACUUGGAUGGUAGGUAACAUAGCAGGAAGCAUAAUCAAGAAUGACACUUUCUUGAACAAUAAUUUGCACACAAAUUAAAGCCAAUAAGUAACUUUUCAAGAAAAAAUCUUCAGCUUUUUUUAAUUAAAACAUCAAAACUGAGAAAAUAAUGAAAGGUGAACAAUCCUUUAAAUAACUCCCAACUAUAAAAUCCUAAUUGAUAUAGAGGUCCUUUGAGAAUUAAGAAUCCUUCAAGAACCCAACUAACAACUACUAAUGCAAUAGAAAUUAGGUAGCAUAAAGUCCUUAAGAAACUUAAUUAAUUUGGUAGCUUGGCGCUUAAGUUAGAAGAACUUAAGUGAGUCACACCCCAAGAAGGCCAUGAGUCCCCUUAUCGCCACCUCCUCCAGUGGUGCACCCACAGGUGCCUAUGUGGCUGCAUCACUAGGUUUUUCCAAAGUAUAGAUGUGUUUUUAUUACUUUAUGGUUGCCACUUUCCACCUAAAUUGGGUCCUUUUAGCUUCUCCGAUUCACUACUGCAGUCUUUUUUAAUAAAAUUGUCAGUGGUUGAAAUUCACUCUCUAAUUCAAUUGUUUGAGGCCAGUUCAUCUUCAUUUUUCAUUGUUUUGGGCAAUGCAUCAUGUGUAGUGAAUUGUGACAUAUGCAAACUUGAACAGAAAAUUCUAGACAAUUUUCAUAUCAUCAUAUGUGUUUCCACAACUGUAAAUCAUUCUUUUGUUGCCUUUAGAAUUCUUUUGUCUUGGAUACAUUAGAUACAUGACAAUUUCUAACUCAAAAUGCAUUUAUUUGUUUCCUUGGGAAGUUUAUCAAACAUUAAUAUACAGAAUUGGAUGCCCAGGAAGUUAUACAUAUAACUGGGUAAGUUGAGGUAGCACAAAAUGAGAUGGAAAUGACUGGGCAUUGAAUGACCAAUUUUUUGAAGGGACACUGGGCAUACUUGCAUAUUUUCUGCUUUCGAAAAGAGCUUGCAUUGAUGUUCUGUUAAGUGAGUGUCAAUAAGUAACAUUCUUUUGAAUAAAUACGAACCUAUCCCACCACAGGACUUAAUAACAGAUGGAACAGAGGUAGGCCUUUUUUUCUGUUAACUGGAAGAAAUGAUUGGCGUACUCUCUGACUUGUGUAAUAGUAUGAGUGUAUGCUUCUGGAUUAACACAUGAUCUUAUAACUGAAUACAUUGUACCAAUUGGAAAAAGGAAAAAUAUACCAAUUUCAAGAAAAAGUCUACUAGCAAUUAAUUUCGAAGACAAGUUCUUUUUGAAAGAUCGUUAAUAUUUGAAAGACUUUUUCUUGAAUAUUUAAUAUUUGGUAGACUUUUUUUUUAAAAGAAUUUAUACAAAGACUCUUUAUUACAAAGAUUUUGAACUCUUACUAGAAAGAGUUUGUCUACAAAAUUGGUAUCUACGUAGAAAAUAUUUUAGUUGUCAUUUUCCUAGAAGAAAUUUUUCUUAGUUGUCAUUUUCAUACAAGAUUUUAGUUGCAUCUUAGUUGUCAUUUAAACCGAAAUUGGUCAAUUUAUGUAGAAAAUUUUCUUACGUGUCAUUUUCAAAGUGUUUUCAUUUUCUUUCUUUGACAAACAUCAUUUGCUACAAGAAUUUUCUUGCAAAAAAUUUAUUACAAAGACUACUUUCAAAGAAAAUGUCUUGCUUCUGAAUAAUUUCAAAAAAAUAUAUUUUUAACGCUCUUAGCCUCUUUAUUCUGGAUUCCAUGGCCAAAAGAUAAAGUAAUUUUUAAGUUAAGUUAGCUAAUUUGUGUCCCAAUUGUGGGAAUUUGUUAAAAUCUUUUUAAAUAUGAUGAAAAUCUUUUUGGCUACAGUUUUAACUUUUAAGCCUUCUUUAAAAGGUCAAGAAAAAAUCUAAGAGAGAGUUAGAAAAAAUGUCUGAAGAAAUUAAUUUACUGAACGGUAAAAUACUCAAAGGCCAUUACAAACAUAUCGUUUUAAAGUUCUAAUAUUUUAUGCCUUUAGAUUACACUGUUUUACUUGUUCAUUGGAAAGUUUUAACGAAUAUAUUAAUACUUGUUUAGAAAAUAGAGAGAUAGGAAGAUUAUUCAUUAUGGGAAGUCAUAUUUUAUCCGCUCUAUAUAGAAAUAGAGGUGACCCCUCUUUACAGAUCAAGAAGCAAAUCACUGAACUCUCUAUUUCUCAGUGUCGGAGUUUCUUGAUAAAAAAUCCUAAAGAUUGUAAAGAAAGACAAUAACUAGCAAAGAUUAUAAAAGAAAAUAAUAAAAGAAAUUCUAACAGAACUAGUUAGACAUUUUUAGUAAUUGAACUUUAGUAGCAAAGAUAAUAUAAAUUGGUGUCGAAUUUUUUUAAUCUUUUCAAACGUAUUAAAAAUCUUUUAAAAAGACCUUGUCUUCAAAAUUAAUUGGCAGUAGACUUUUUCUUUAAAUUGUUAUAUUUGAUAUUGAAAACAUGUUUAAAUUUUUGAAAGAUCUUUAAUAUUUGAAAGACUAUUUCUUGAAUCUUUAAUAUUUGGUAGACUUUUUCUUGAAAAUAAUUUAUUACGAAAACUUUGCACAAAGACUCAUUAUUACAAAAAAUUUGAAUUCUUACUAGAAAGAGUUUGUCUACAAAAUUGGUAUCUACGUAGAAAAUAUUUUAGUUGUCCUUUUCCUAGAAGAAAAUUUUCUUAAUUGUCAUUUUCAUACAAGAUUUUAGUUGUAUCUUAGUUGUCAUUUAAACCGAAACGGGUCAAUUUACGUAGAAAAUUUUCUUACUUGUCAUUUUCAAAGUGUUUCAUUUUCUUUCUUUGACAAACACCAUUUGCUACAAGAAUUUUCUUGCAAAAAAUUUAUUACGAAAACUACUUUCAAAGAAAAAGUCUUGCUCCCGAAUUAGUAUCCCUAGCUUCCAAACCUAUCCUAGUAGGGACGGGGAUACUAUAUAGAGCUCUAUGUUAUCCAUAAGAAAAGAGAGAAGGCUUGGUAGGAGUGCAGUAUCGGUCGUAGCGUGCCAAGCUAGUACGGUACCAAUGCUUUCUUUCUAAUAAGAACCAUCCCCUCGCUCAGUUCAAUGCGAAUUAGUAUCCCUAGCUUCCAAACUUGUCCUAGUAGGGAGGGGGAUACUAUAUAGAGCUCUAUGUUAUCCAUAAAAAAAGAGAAGGUAUGGUAGGAGUGCAGUAUCAGUCGUAGCGUGCCAAGCCAGUACGGUACCAAUGCUUUCUUUCUAAUAAGAACCAUCCCCUCGCUCGGUCCAAUGGGUCCAAUGGGUUCUUGUAUGAAAAUAACAACUAAGAAAAAUAUCUUAUAGGAAAAGGACAACUAAAAUGUUUUCUAUGUAGAUACCAAUUUUGUAAACAAACUCUUUCUAGUAAGAGUUCAAAAUCUUUGUAAUAAAGAGUCUUUGUGUAAACUCUUCGUAAUAAAUUCUUUUUAAGAAAAAGUCUGCCAAAUGUUAAAGAUUCAAGAAAGAGUCUUUCAAAUAUUAAAGAUUUUUAAAAAAUUUGAACACAUUUUGAAUAUCAAAUAUACCAAAUUCAAGAAAAAGUCUACUAACAAUUAAUUUCGAAGACAAGGUCUUUUUAAAAGAUUUUUAAUACGUUUGAAAAGUUUGAAAAAAUUCUACAUCAAUUUAUAUUAUCUUUGCUAUGAAAGUUCUAUUGCUAAAAAUGUCUAACUAGUUUUGCUGGAAUUUCUUUUAUUGUUUUCUCUUAUAAUCUUUGCUAGUUGUUGUCUUUUUUUACAAUCUUUAGGAUCUUUUAUCAAGAAACUCUGACACUGAGAGAUAGAGAGCCCAGUGAUUUGCUUCUUGAUCUGUAAAGAGGGGUCACCUUUAUUUCUAUCUAGAGCGGAUAAAAUACGGCUUCCUACAAUAACUAAUCUUCCUCUCUAUUUUUUAAACAAGUAUUAAUAUAUUCGUUAAAACUUUCCAAUGAACAAGUAAGACAGUGUACUCUAAAAACAUAAAAUAUUAGAACUUUAAAACGAUAUGUUUGUAAUGACAUUUGAGUACUUUACCGUUCAGCAAAUUAAUUUCUUCAAACAUUUUUUUAAAACUCUCUUUUAGCUUUUUUCUUAGCCUUUUAAAGAAUGUUUAAGAUUGUAGCAAAAAAGAUUUUCAUUAUAUUUAAAAAGGUUUUAACAAAUUCCCACAAUUGGGACACAAAUUAGCCAACUUGACUUAAAGGAUUACUUUAUCUUUUGGUCAUGAAAUCUAGAAUAAAGAUGCUAAGAGCGUUAAAAAUAUAUUUUUGAAACAGAAAUAAAAUAUUAUUUGUGUAUAAAUUAAUUGCUCAUUUGGCGUUUUCCCUUUUAGGCCUUGCCCGAAAAAUAACUAAAGUAAACGAAAAUUAUAAAUAAUAGAAGAUAUGAAAAGAAUUUACUUUAAUUACGAAAUCUUUGAAUUUACAAGGAUGUCUUUGAAUUUACAAAGAUGGUGGAGAGAUUUUUUAGUACAAGUGUGAUAGUUUGCUUUUCUUCUCGGGGUGUGUUUUCUUUCGUGAGAGGUUUGAGUAUUUAUAGACGCUGGCACAUCAUGUUUAUUUUAUUGGUGUUGUAAGUGUGCUAUCAAUUAUUGAAGAAUACUGUGCAAACUUUACAAGUGUGCGAUCUAAAAUCAAAGAAUAAUGUACAAUUCUCCAUGUGAGUCAUUAAGGAAUGAAUUAUUUGAAAAGAUGCUUUUGACAACUUUUGUCUUCACGUUUGACUUUUCUUGAAAUAUGAGAAUCAACUUUGCAGAUGUUUGAAAUAUGUUCAAAAGCUUUAUCUUUACACCUCUUCUUUUUGACUUUCUUGUCUUGCUAAUUAUUUCUCCGUCUUUCUAUCUCGUCUUUAUCUGUCCAUUAUUUCUGUUAUGGCUUCUUCUAGUUUUGGAUCCAUCUCAUUAUCGUUCCAUCAGAUAUGUAUGCUUCCUCUUCCGUAUUUGAUUGAGUUUCUGUAAAUUCUCCAUUAUUUUCUUGAAACGCCAUCAGAUAUAAAUUCUUUUGUUCAACAUUUGGUACUAGAAUUUUUUCUGCUCUAAUUUUCAUGGCAAUGUGCUCUUGGCAGAAAAUAAUUCCGUUGUUCCAUUGUGCUACUAAUCUGAAAUCAUUAUUUUGAACUUCCAUCAUGGCUGCGGUUUCUGAUAUUCUUCUUUCAUAAUCAAUCUGUCUAAUUUUUAUUUUAAUAUUCGUCCUCAAAGAGGGUCUAAAUCUUUUGGCUCGUUCAUAAAUUAAAAUACGAUGAUAAGCUGAAAUUACAAUGUCAUUAUUUACACAAGGGGGUAUAGAAAUGAAUUGAACCAUUAAGGGAUGGUCUUUUAACUGAUCAAGAAUCUGUUUAAGUUUCGAUGAAAAAAAUAGGAAAGAUCUGUUUAAUAUGUAUAUAGUAUCUAUCAUUCCAAACUGUAAAACUGGGUAAAUAAGGUUUUCUCCUUCAAAGAUUGUAUAAUCAAAGGAAAUUAUUGGAUAAUUGUGUCUAAGAAAGGCUGAAUUUUGGGUUGCAUCGUAUUUGGGACCAUGUCUAAGGAAGUAUCUGUUUUCAUUAUGACAGGAACUUAAAUUUUGAGCAAAAUUUAUAAUUUCCUGUACAACGAAAUUCUUUAUAGACCUUCGAACAAUAUUGGCGCAAUCACUAAUUUUCUGUUCUAAUUUGUAUAAAGUCUUUUCUUGUCUUACAGAUGUGGAAUAUGUUAGUUCAAUAAGUCUUUCUAUUUUAUAAAAAUAAUUUCUAGAACUAAUUCUGUCUAAACUAUUAUGCAAUUUAAGAAUCUCAUUUUGAUAUUUACUAAUAGUUUGUUGGGAUGAAGAAAUUUGAUCUUCAAGGAGUUGUAGUCUUUCUUUUAAAGAAUGCUUUCUAAGAUUUAAAUUUCUAACAACUUUGGUUAUAGUUUUACAACUAUUACAAAGUUGUAUUGAUGAAGAUGAUGAUGAAGUUUGAGAGAGGGGUUGCAUGGUCUGUCUAAUUCUUUCGGAUAUAUGAAAAUUAAUUCAUAUCAUUUCCCUACAAAAAUUUAAAGCUUCUUCAAGCGUAUAAAAUCCUUUGAAAGGGGGUCGAGAAAUCUUUCUACUUAUUGUAGUACUUAUAGUCAAUAAUUAUAUAUUCCAGGCUUUCUACCUUUAAUUAUUGUAAAGAAACUAAAAUUUUUGCUUUCUAUUUGAUUAUGAAUCUGUCUAAAAUGGUUAGCUAGGACAUUAAUACUGUCUAAUUUUUGUUUUUUUUCUCUUUUUUAUACAAUUUUUUCUUUCUUCUUCUAUAAUCAUAUGUCUGUGGUGUAUAAAAAUUUGAGCAAAAAGAAUAAUUUAAUUUCUUUAUCUACUUUCUAGCUACUUCCUCUACACAAUAUUCUUUUAAUUUAUCAGUUAUAAAUUUUAUAGUGACACUUAAGUUAUUUCCCUUGUUGGGUUUGACUCUAUAUUCUUUCUAAUUUUAUCAUUCCAAGGUGGUGGUAUCUUUCUAUAUAAUCUUUCAACUAUAGGGUAAUCUAAUGCUAAUUCUGCUGCGCUUGUUAAUCUUUCAAAAUCUAACAAAAAUGGUUGUAUGUAUUUCAUAUUACUAAUACUUAAUUUUUCUAAGUCUUCUAAAGUUUUAUUUUGUUCAUAAGUGUUAUCUCUACUGGGAUCAGAACUUAUAAUUAAUUCUCUAAUAAAGCUUGUAAAAUUUUUGGGAUUAUCUUCUCCAGCCAUUCUUAAUCUAAUUUCAUAUGGUUUUAGUCUUUUUGUUAUAACGUAUACAUCUAAAGCAGUCUUUCCUAAAUAAGUUUCUAAGCAAGCCCACAUUUCUUCUAUAGUCAUUUGUAUAGUUACACUGUUAUACGCUCUAAUUACAGAAUUUUCUCAUUUAGUUAUAGUACUAGAUUUGUCUUGUGGUUUACAAUUAUUUAACUCUAAGAUUAAUCCUCUAUCGCUUGCUAAUGGUAAACUAUAUUCUUCUUCCGUUUGUCUUUUUCCUAGGCUUUUAUAUUUUUUAUCAGUCCAUUCAAAAUCUCUUGUAGGGGAAAAAUGAUAUUUACCUCUUAUAUCGUAUUCUGUAUUUAUGAGUUCUUUUCUUUUUCCAAAUUCUUGAUCUGUUUCCAUUUUAUCUCUUUUGCUAGUUUCUUCCAUCUUGGUUUCUAUUUCUACUUGAUCUUUUUCUAUUAACAUUCUAGUUUCUAUUUCUCUAACUUUUCUAAGAUUUCUGUAAUAUUCCAUAUCUAUAUAUCCAAAUUCUUUUUCAUCGUCCUCACUUUCAUCUUCUUCACUAUCUUCGUCAAAGGCAUUAAUUUCGUCUUCACCUUCAUAGUCAUCUAUUUCAAAAUAUCCACAUUCUCCUUCAUUUUCUUUCUCAUUAUGCAGUGUCUGUUUUAUUUGAUAAUUAUAAUUUCCAAAUCUAAUACUUAAAGUUCCAUUACUAUUUUUGUACAUAAUAUUAUUUUCUGGUAUUAAUAUUGAUUUUUGUAGAAAAUUUCCUAAGUUUCAAUUUAAUCUUCCAUACGUUUCUGAAGAGAAUUUCUUUGUUGGGAUAGCCUUUAUACUUUUUUGUCAUAAUAAUGUAAUUAUUUGAUUAUUUUCUAAUUUAUAAUUAGUAGUACUAUUUUCACUAAAUCUUCUUAUGAAUCCUGUGCAAAUUAAUAAAUUAUCCUCAUCUCUUUUCAUUUGAUAUCCUUUGCUUUUUACUCCUAUUUUAAUAUCUUUAUAGAAAUUAUUUGUUCUAACUAAAUAGUCUGGUGUAAAAUAUAUUAUUUCGCCUUUAUUAUUCAUAUCUAAUUCUAUGUUUCCUAAUAAUCCUUGUUCUAUAUCCGAAUCUACUGUCAUAUAAACAUACUAAGACUUUAGCUCUUAAAUUUUCUCUAUAAAGCCCUUUUACUCCUAUUAUUAUUAAUCUUAAAUGAGUCUGUUGAAGAUUUUUAUUAACAAUUUCUUUAUAACAUUCUUUUUCUAUUAAAUCUAGAGAUAUAAAUUGAUCUUCAUAUGUACAUGAAACAUAUCUUUCACCAUAAUAUUGAUAUAUUAAAGAUUUGCUAAGUAAAUUUCAUUUUUUAUAUAUGUUUAAAGCUUUCACUAAUUUCAGUUUAUUUUGUCUAAACAUUUUUAUUUGUUCUUAUAUAUCUAUUAGAGAUUCUAGUCUUGUUUCCGAUUCUGUUUUUCUACUUAAUGUCUUAAUAAAGGAUUACCUAUAAUUUACUACUACUGACAACGAUUUGUUUUCCUUUAUUCAUUAUGUAUAGGUCUACUUAGUUUUCUUAAAUUUACUAGGCUCUUUAGUUUUACCUAUAUCUAAUUUUUCUAGUUUAUUUAUUAUAUUAUCUAAAUCUUGUUUAUUAUCUGUCGACUUUUUAUUUUCUAAUGCUUUAACUAUGCUUUCCAAUUUUUCUAAAUUAGGACUAGAUUCCGUUUCUCCUAUAUUAUUAGAUUUUCUUUUUAGUAUUUUGGUUUUUAAUAUAUCCUAGAUUAGUUUCUAAAAUUUUUAUAUUUUUAUUUAUAUUUUCUAAGAAAGUUUCAAUUCUUUUAUUUGAAUUGAUCCUUUCUAAAUUUACAAGUCUACAAUAUUAUUUAACUGUUUAUCUUCACUAUGUAAAGUAUGUCUAAACUUAUUAUCAAAAUUACAGAUUAGAGAAGCUGCUUUUAAGUUAUAUUUUCUUUUAUAAUUUCCUAAAAAUUCGAAACUUAAAUACUUGAUUCUUUUCAUAAACUAUAUAGUUUUUUACUGUUCUUGGCUCUAAUACCAAAUUCACAAUUAUUCGGGAUACUUCACAACCUGUUAUGAUUGUAAAUUCAAUGUUUAAAAAUAAUUUAAAAUUUUUUAUACUAUGUAUAAUGAUCAUUAUUUCAUAAUCUAAACUAGUUAAAUAUUUUCCUUUUAUCUUGUAUUCGUUAGUAUAUAUACAAUUUUUUUCUUCUUUUUUAUUACUAUAUUUAUUUGGUUUGGAAUAUAAAAUUCCUCUUCAUCCUAAUUCACAACCAUCUGUUUCUAUUAUUUUAUAUUCACUAUCUAAUGGUAACUCUAAUGAUGGUAAAUUUUUAACUUCUGCUUUUAUCUUUUUAACUAAUUCUAUAUCUGAUUGAUUAAAAUACUUUUGUCAUUUACUACACAAUGGUCCUAUUUUCCUUCCUAAAUCUUUAAUAAAAUGUCUAGCAUAAUUUAAUAUUCCUAAAAAGGCUUUUAAUUUCUUGGCUUCUUCAAUUUUGUCUGUACUAUAUGUGGCUCUAACUGAAUCUUUCUGUCUCCUAAAAUUAUUCCUAAAAAUUCAAUUUUUUGUUUAUUUAUUUUCAUCUUCUUUUUACUUAUAAUUAAACAAUUUUCUAUAAAUUUAUUCAAGAUUAUCUCUAGAUGUUUCAUAUAUUUUUUUUAUAGUUUUUACUAUGUACUAAAAUAUCAUCUAUAUAUACACAAAAAAUGGAAGAGAAUUAAAUAUACUAUCCAUCUUUUUUUGAAAAAUAGAGGGUGUAUUUUUUAAUCCAAAAGGCAUGACUAACCAUUCAAAUUGUCCUAAUAGAGUAGUAAAAGCUGUCCAAGGAAUAGAAUCUUUUAUCAUUUUCAUUCGCCAAAAUUCAGAUUUACAAUCAAAUUUAGAAAAUAUCUUAUUAUUUUGUAUUUUAUUUAUUAGCAUAUCCUUAUCUGGUAUCUUAUAUCCAUCUUCUACAAUAUUGUUGUUUAAUCUUUUAUAGUUUAUAACCAUUUUUGUUUUUCCUCUUUUUAUUUCACUAUGAUUUCUAACUAUAUAGGCUGCUGAUCUGUGUUGACUACUAGACGGUUUUAUUACUUUUAAAUCUAAUAAUUCUUUAAUCUGUAUGUUAAAAUCUUCUAUAUCUUAAUUAGUAUGUUUUAUUUCUGCUGUUCUAAUUUUUAUAUUUUCAUUUAUUAUUUCUAAUUUAGCUUCUAUUUUAUUUUUAUCCCAAUGUUCUCAUUAUCUUCAUAGUGUAGAUGGAUCAAAGGAUGAUGAACUUUAGGAAUGUCACUCUAAGAGUGGCCCCUCAAAGAUCUAAUUUUCGAUUUAGAGGAAAUAAUUUAGAAAGACUAUCAGAAAGGGAGCGUUGUCUACUCAAUUGUAAAGAAAAUGAAAAUUUAUUUAUGGAUGCAUACUUUGGGACUCUUGUGUAAUGGGAAAUAUUGGCAAAUAAAACUGGAUUAUAAUUUUUUAGCAAGUCUUAAUACUUUUAAGAUUUACGAAAGGAUUUUGCUUUUGCCGUUUUUUCUUUUUUGGAGGUUGUGAAUAUGAUCCAAACUAGAGCAAAUAUGUUGUACUAGAUGUUUCUAUUCUUCAGUCAAAACUCUUUCUCCAUUCUUUGUGUAAUUAUGGAGGGAAAUGAACUGUGAUCAGUUAGUUAAAUCAGUGAGUGCUAGUAUGGUUGAUGAAUUGGUUGUAUGUUGGACAUUCGUGUAUAAAGGAGCAACUGCUUCAGGUAGAUAUCUGGACUUGUCAUUGAUUCCAUUUUAACUAUAGUAAAGUGUCAGGGAUUGGUUCUACACAAGCUUGAAAUUUCAUUUGAGAAUUGUUGAUGCAUGAUCUCUCUCUCUCUCUCACACACACAGGUAUAGUUCCUUGAAACCAUUUGGGAAACAUUGGAAUGUAUUGUUUACAGUAAAGUUUGAUCAUGCUUAGCGUUGGCUUUCCUUUUUGAGAAGGGGAGAACUAAAUAGUGAUUCAACUUAUGGGCCUUAAUAUGUUGAAAUUGAAUUUUAUGCAUUAAUGAUGCAUCAAAUGUUUGAAUUUCACCCAAGACAUGGAUUAAUGUUUAAGUCUUCCUGUGCAUCUACCUAAUUCAAGAUGUUCCUAUUCAGGUGCUGCAUCUCAGCAUCAAGAAACAUCUGCUGUGGGAGAUGCUUCUCAAACAUUUUUCUCAAGGUCUCCAUCCAACAUGUCGGUGGGAGGAAAGGCUUCCGACCAACCCAAAAGGACACCGGUGUCUCAAGAAGAGAUCGAGGCUAUCUUGGUGUGUAAGAACCACUGAGUACAUAUAACUAUAGGAAUAUUAUGGGUUUAUUAAUUUAUCAUCUCUUAGUCUUUCAGACCACGUUUUGCUUGAAAGUUUCUCCUGUCAAUUCUUCCAGUUGUUGGUCUCAAAACACACCUUGAAAACUUUGGUCGAGUACAUAUAACUAUAGGAAUAUUAUGGAUUUACUAAUUUAGUAUCACCUCUUGGUCUCAAAGCACACACUUGGAAACCAAAGUUUCCACUUUCGCCAUAUUUUUUUUAUUCGUUUCUUCUUCGGAAAGAAAUAUCAAAGAAAUCGAUGUUUCAAGAAAUGGAUGUGAGGUGAACUAAGCUAGCCUCGAUUUGAUUUAAUUAAUACUUAAUGGCGAAAAUCCACUUUUAAUUAUUCUAUUAUCAAUGUGCCGGUUGCAUUCCAUUGAAGCAUUUAAAUAUCCAGGAGAUUUAUCAUUGUAUUUCAGUUGUGGUAUAAAACAACUGAAAUUUUGGUGGUUGGUCGGAAUAUUACUGCUAUCCAUUGAGGAUUUUUUUUUUAGCAAUUUUAGUGGCACAGUUUUGCACCUGUACAUAUAUCCUCACUUCAUUUAGAAUCCAAAUCUUGAAUGAGUGACAAUUGGUCUUUGUUUUUUGCUCUCAAAUCUUUGCUUUGGCAUUUAUCAACUGCUCUUUCCCUUACUAUUUGUUGAUCAUUUUCUCAUCUGACAGUUGGGCGGCUGUAUCUGAACAUCUCACGGAAUCUUGCAUUGAGGAACAACAUUAUAACUAGUUCUUGGCUUUCGUAUCCAUCCUUUCAUGUCUGGAGAAUUCCGACUUGAGUCCUUUUUCUUGAAACUUUAUGAGCCUGCUAUCUCGUUGAUUGAUUGUUUGUACACAAAAGGAGAGGAAAUAAGAUACGUGAAUUAGUUAUCUAUUCUUGUCCUGAUUUGGAUUAAGUUGGAGAUUAUGGAAGUGAAUGAAUUUCUGGCUUGACACUGAUCACAUUACAUUUCAUUUUCAUUCGUUUGAAAACAAAAGAUAUCGAAUAUCAAACAUGCCCUACUUGUAGAAAAAAAGGCUAAAUAACCCAGUUAAGUUGCUGAUUAUGUAUUAUUGUGCAAAAAGUACUGUGAAUGCAAGAUCUCAUAAUAGGUGAACAUAAUUUUACAUCACGAAAUGUUCUUCUCUACCAUGCUCUCAAGGAUAGCAGACCUGGGGUUCACCAUCGGUGUCCCAUUUUCAUGACAUUCUAGUUCGUCAAGCUGGAGCGUGACUCCACCAAAAAUAUCCUAUUAAGCGAAAGUAUUCGUGGUUGAAUUGUAGUUCAAGAUCAGCCUCUUGAAAUCCUUAUAUUCUGUGAAGUGGUUGUACAACAUGGAAACGUUCUUUCAUGAAAUUUUUGCUGUAACUGAUCGUGACCAAGAAACCACCGGUUUUUCUUGAGUAUAUCCCAAUUUCCACCUUCAACCAGAAACCCAGCCUUGCCUUCAGUAAUUUUUUGGACAAUACAAAAGUACAUGUAAAAGUGGUUGCUAGAGUUCUUGACAAUGGCUAUCGUUCCUGGCAAUAAACGUGGCAAAUCUGGUGCUUUAGGCUUCUUUACAAAGCUUGGAGUAAACAAUGGAUGAUCCUCCCUUUUUAAGGGGCCGAUUUUGUUCAAUGAACUUUUAAGUCCUUUUUCGCCACUUGGAAAUCCACCAGUAGUAACUCCUUUACAAAUCCAUAUCAGAUAUUUCUGAUGCUGCUGCUUGUUGCUUUUCUUGAUCUCAAGGGUUGUACACUGGUGGUGCUGCCGCCGCCUCCAGGAUGGUGGGAGAUUUUUUCAAUUCUUGUUGGAGGCCUCCUCCAUCGCAGAGGCCUCUACCUCCCAAUAUCUCAUAGUGGUUGAAUUUGGCUUAGGGAGUAGAUUUGAAAGCUGAGGAUUGUUUUGGAAUUACGGAGAUUGAUUUAUGAAUGAAUUUAG
rnacentral:lncRNA from 1 species